rnacentral:lncRNA from 1 species
UGGGCUAUUAUAAGUUUGUACAAAUCUUCUAAAAACAGGGAUAGCAUUUCUUCUAUAAUGAAACCAUUAUCCAAAACCCAUCUACAAAAACAGCAAAAUAUUCUUUAUUGAAGAAAAAUAAAUCUAGUCCUAGCAGAAGAACCACACAUGACAUGGCUCUGAGAAAUCACAGGUGAAAAACAAAUCAAAUGAAACCGACUCAAAUGGGGAACAAGAAACAACAGGCAUGUACUGGUAUAUAAUAUAUAGAUAUCUACAGUGCAGAAUACAUCCAAAUCAAGUAGUGUUGCAGAAAAAUAAAAUAAUAAAACAUUUCAGCUAACUUUCCCCAUAUUUCCAGGUUCUCCAGGAAUCCUGGUUGGAAGAUGCUCGAUUUCUUCUUGUUCCCUCCAACCUGGAUUUCUGGAGAAUUUGGGAAAAAGUUACUGGAAUUUUGCUACACUAAAUCAUACACAAUUCCAACAGAUACAGGAAUGUUAUGGUCAGGAGAAGGGACAUAACAAUAAUGUGAUUGAUGAUUUUGUAAUGUUUCAUAACCAAGGGAAACAAGGGUUUGGACCAUGGAAAUAAACAACACUCUAGAUAUGUAGAGUGUACCAAUAUGUAUACUGAACAAAAAUAUAAAACGCAACAUGUAAAGUAUUGCUCCCAUGAGCUGAAAUAAAAGAUCCCAGAAAUGUUCCAUACGCACAAAAACCUUUCUCUAAUUUUGUGCACUAAUUUGUUUACAUCCCUGUUAGUGAGCAUUUCUCAUUUGCCAAGGUAAUCCAUUCAACUGACAGGUGUGGCAUAUCAAGAAGCUGAUUAAACAGCAUGAUCAUUACACAUGUGCACCUUGUGCUGGGGACAAUAAAAGGCCACUGUAAAAGUGUGCGGUUUAUCACACAACACAAUGCCACAGAUGUCUCAAGUUGAGGGAGUGUGCAAUUGCCAUGCUGACUGCAGUAAUGUCCACCAGAGCUGUUGCCAGAGAAUGUAAUGUUAAUAUCGCUACCAUAACGUCAUUGUUUACAUGUUGCGUUUAUAUUUUUGUUCAGUUGUGUCACAAUAGAGGAAUAUUUUACAUUCAAACAGAAAUUAGGAGAAUGAAUUAAUGUUCGUCUUUCAUCAAGGCCAUUGGAGAAACAGGACAAGUGAUCAAAUAGAGAGGCGAAACAGAAAGGUGGGGGAGAAAAAUAAGUGAUAUUAACAGGAAGUCACCAAGUGCCUGAAUUUAAGCCUCAGUCAGAUAAAUAACAACGUGAUAUAGUGAAAGCCUCGUCUGUAAUGCAGUAGCUGGAAUCAUACCGGCAUAGCAGACUUUACAAAUCAGGAUUAUAAAUAACAUACAUUGUGUAUACAUUUACACAUGUAAACAUUCUCCACCCUACUCUGACCACCUGACAGGCCACGGCAUAUUUCUGGUUUGAUACAGCAUGCGUGGACGACAUCCUGUUACUCUUUUUGGUUUGACUUGUGCUGAGAGCUACAGUAAGUCCCAAUGAACGCCAAGGAAACUGGAACUCACAGGACAUAAGUCGUGAGAGCUGCUUGCAUAUUUGUUUUUCCUAGGGAGGUUUUUACCGCAGUCACAAAGUCAAUUGUCUAUAUUAUAAAAAUGUUAUUUUUGGUGUUAAUUUAAGGCUAGGCAUAAGGUUAGCAGUGUGGUUAAGGCUAGGCAUAAGGUUAGCAGUGUGGUUAAGGCUAGGCAUAAGGUCAGCAGUGUGGUUAAGGCUAGGCAUAAGGUCAGCAGUGUGGUUAAGGCUAGGCAUAAGGUUAGCAGUGUGGUUAAGGUUAGGCAUAAGGUUAGCAGUGUGGUUAAGGUUAGGCAUAAGGUUAGCAGUGUGGUUAAGGUUAGGUUUAAAAUAACAUUUUAGGAAAAUGAAUUGAAGAAAUGGGCAGGGUUUACGACUUCACGGCUGGGGUAACUAGUAUCUCGCCCCAAAAUCUCAUAGGAAAAACUCAUUUGCGAGCUUCUUAGCUUACACUUCUGGGGCGUGUUCAUUAGGGUACACCAUUGAUAAUAGCUUUGAAAACUUUUGUAACGUAAACAUAAAUUGUUUGUUAUUGGACCAGUACAGUUCAGAGAACACUCGGCACCAUUAGGCUGUACCAGGUCUGCAGCCCUGUUAUAUUUUCUACAAAAUGCCUCUAUACCUUCCUUCCUUCCUAAUUGUUCUGAUUUUACAUGGUCUGUUGACUGAUGUGAUGGAGAGAAAACAACCACAUGACAGACCAGAUAGAAAUCAAGAAAGGACUGAAGGAUGAAUUCAACAGGAUCUGUCUUCAGGGUAACCAGAGGAAUACGGCCCUGUACACUGACCCAGGCAAACAGGAUCUGUCUUCAGGGUAACCAGAGGAAUAUGGCCCUGUACACUGACCCAGGCAAACAGGAUCUGUCUUCAGGGUAACCAGAGGAAUACGGCCCUGUACACUGACCCAGGCAAACAGGAUCUGUCUUCAGGGUAACCAGAGGAAUACGGCCCUGUACAGUGACCCAGGCAAACAGGAUCUGUCUUCAGGGUAACCAGAGGAAUAUGGCCCUGUACACUGACCCAGGCAAACAGGGGAGUCAUUUCAUUGGUUCCUUUUCGCCAGCAGAAUCAUGAUAAACCGGGGAAAGAUUGGUUUUGCUGCAAGCGUUGUACAUAAAAACGGUUGAACAGAUUCAGCAUAUUCAAUAAAACAGCACCAACUCUUUUAUUGUACACAUCGGACAGUCUAACAGAAGUUGUUUUUGGAGACUGACUUCCGCCCUCUUUGAAGCAGAGGCCCUGCCCUCACUGUUUCCUGCCCACUUCCUGGUUACGUCAAUAGAACCCCAGGGCCACGUUCAGCAGCCAAAAUUUUGCAAAUAGAAACACCAGAAAUAGAGCCAACAUGAUUCCUUAUUCUACAGGUCAGAGAGGCAUGUUUGUUCUACAUAGCAUAUUUCUAUCUGAACGUUCCCCAACAUUGCGUCUUGCUGAACGCGCACCCCCAGGGGGAAUGGAUCAUUAUCACUGUGGCAGAUGAAUUGUAAACAACAAGGCUGCGUUCAGCAGCGCACACUGUUGUGGAAUGUUAAGAUAUGUUUUUUGUAGAACUAACAUGCCUCUGACCUGCAGGAUAAGGAAUCAAAGCUCUCUUCAUGAUAUUUAUGUCUGCAACGCUCCACAACGUUUGGUUUGCAUACUGAAUGAGACAAUGACCCGUCUACCCGGCACAACGCCCCUCUACGUACAGCCCGUCUUCCCGGCACAACGCCCCUCUACGUACAGCCCGUCUUCCCGGCACAACGCCCCUC